rnacentral:rRNA from 1 species
UACGUAGGGUCCGAGCGUUGUCCGGAAUUAUUGGGCGUAAAGGGCUCGUAGGCGGUUUGUCGCGUCGGGAGUGAAAACACGGGGCUUAACCCCGUGCCUGCUUCCGAUACGGGCAGACUAGAGGUAUGCAGGGGAGAACGGAAUUCCUGGUGUAGCGGUGAAAUGCGCAGAUAUCAGGAGGAACACCGGUGGCGAAGGCGGUUCUCUGGGCAUUACCUGACGCUGAGACGCGAAAGCUAGGGGAGCGAACGGG